rnacentral:rRNA from 1 species
CCCUUAGAUGUUCUGGGCUGCACGCGCGCUACAUUGUUGCUUCCAACGGGUUGUCGGUUUUGAGAAUUUAUCGUAAAUUCUAGAAACAAGCAGCGUAACUGGGAUAGACUAUUGUAAUUAUUACUCUUCAACGAGGAAUUCCUAGUAGGAGCGGUUCAACAGACCGUUCUGAUUACGUCCCUGCCCUUUGUACACACCGCCCGUCGCUCCUACCGAGUGGGUGGUCCGGUGAAUUAUUUGGACUCUUUUGAGACAUGCUAAUGUUUCUUCUGAGAAAUUUUUGUUAACCUUAUCACCUGGAGGAAGGAUAAGUCGUAACA